UACGUAGGGGGCAAGCGUUAUCCGGAAUUACUGGGUGUAAAGGGAGAGUAGGCGGUAAGGUAAGCGAUAUGUGAAAGCCUUAGGCUUAACCUGAGGAUUGCAUAACGAACUAUCUAGCUAGAGUACAGGAGAGGAAAGCGGAAUUCCUAGUGUAGCGGUGAAAUGCGUAGAUAUUAGGAAGAACACCAGUGGCGAAGGCGGCUUUCUGGACUGAAACUGACGCUGAGGCUCGAAAGCGUGGGGAGCGAACAGG
rnacentral:rRNA from 1 species